rnacentral:rRNA from 1 species
UCCCGCUCAGGAUGAACGCUGGCGGCGUGCCUAAUACAUGCAAGUCGAGCGAACAGAUAAGGAGCUUGCUCCUUUGACGUUAGCGGCGGACGGGUGAGUAACACGUGGGUAACCUACCUAUAAGACUGGAAUAACUCCGGGAAACCGGGGCUAAUGCCGGAUAACAUUUAGAACCGCAUGGUUCUAAAGUGAAAGAUGGUUUUGCUAUCACUUAUAGAUGGACCCGCGCCGUAUUAGCUAGUUGGUAAGGUAAUGGCUUACCAAGGCAACGAUACGUAGCCGACCUGAGAGGGUGAUCGGCCACACUGGAACUGAGACACGGUCCAGACUCCUACGGGAGGCAGCAGUAGGGAAUCUUCCGCAAUGGGCGAAAGCCUGACGGAGCAACGCCGCGUGAGUGAUGAAGGGUUUCGGCUCGUAAAACUCUGUUAUUAGGGAAGAACAAACGUGUAAGUAACUGUGCACGUCUUGACGGUACCUAAUCAGAAAG